AGCCUUCUGUAUCCGUGCUGAGAUUUCGUCAGCGAGCAACCUAGUGGGGCGGAUGACACUUCUCAAAUAAGUUAAGUA
rnacentral:pre_miRNA from 1 species